rnacentral:miRNA from 1 species
AAAUACAUACGUGUGAAUGGAAUUCACCCAUAUGUGAUUCAUUCACAUAUGGGUGAAUGGCAUUCACACGUAUGUGAUU